rnacentral:rRNA from 1 species
AUGCCCGGCAGGGAAACGACUGGGAUGAACACCUCUCUUUGAUCUUUCAGUGCCAUAUCGUCUCAUUUCAACUGGACCCCAACCAAGAAUACCAGCAGAACUGCUAGAUUCCUGCGACCUGUUACCAUUUGCCAUAAAUGGAGGAGGUUGAUACAUCGUUUGGGUGUCAAACUGAUUAUCCUGAUCAGCUCUCCUCCGGCGCUUCCAGGCUUCCGAAUUCCCAGUGUUUUCACCAUUAUUAAGAGGCUCUGGAGUGUGCUGGAAAGACCUUGUUGACCUUUGGUUUCUAGGAGGAUGAGGCUGAUUUGA